CACCACCACACCACAACACCCACGUGCUGCCUGGCUGAUACACCAAACAACACCUCUCCCCAACCACCACACACCCCGUGUCCGACACAACAGAACAAUAGAAACAUGAGUGAUAUUGUGCCUCACAGUAGUGUGCAGGUAGCAGAUGAUGCUGGGGAAGUGGCAGAGGCAGCCCAACAGAGAGAAGUGAUGACCGAGGCAGUGGGUGUUGAGGAGGAGGCACCUGCCACACCACUUGCAGCACCAACAGGGGCCAGACUUGCCUGGUACAUCACUGGUGUUUGUGGAUGAGGAGGAGAUCAUCCACCUGCAGAAGAAAAGGAAGCUUGAGCUUGCACUCCUUUAAGAAUCUAUAAUGGCUCAGGAAAGGAAGCAAGAAGCAGAACAGGCUAAGUACAUGUACUACACACAAAAACUAGAGUACCAGAAACAAACAAAUAAAAAAUAGUAAUAAAGAUAUAAAUAAUGUACUAUUUGUUUUUGUUUGUAACCAAUCAACCAAAUAUUAGUGUUAACACAAAAUUAACUGCAGUUUCUAUAUGCUCAACCUACAAUCUACUUAAUUCAGGUAUGGGAGAGAGAGAGAGAGAGAGAGAGAGAGAGAGAGAGAGAGAGAGAGAGAGAGAGAGAGAGAGA